rnacentral:rRNA from 2 species
GGUUAAGCGACUAAGCGUACACGGUGGAUGCCCUGGCAGUCAGAGGCGAUGAAGGACGUGCUAAUCUGCGAAAAGCGUCGGUAAGGUGAUAUGAACCGUUAUAACCGGCGAUGUCCGAAUGGGGAAACCCAGUGUGAUUCGUCACACUAUCGUUAACUGAAUACAUAGGUUAACGAGGCGAACCGGGGGAACUGAAACAUCUAAGUACCCCGAGGAAAAGAAAUCAACCGAGAUUCCCCCAGUAGCGGCGAGCGAACGGGGAGCAGCCCAGAGUCUGAAUCAGCUUGUGUGUUAGUGGAACGGUCUGGAAAGUCCGACGGUACAGGGUGAUAGUCCCGUACACCAAAAUGCACAGGUUGUGAACUCGAAGAGUAGGGCGGGACACGUGGUAUCCUGUCUGAAUAUGGGGGGACCAUCCUCCAAGGCUAAAUACUCCUGACUGACCGAUAGUGAACCAGUACCGUGAGGGAAAGGCGAAAAGAACCCCGGCGAGGGGAGUGAAAAAGAACCUGAAACCGUGUACGUACAAGCAGUGGGAGCACCUUCGGGUGUGACUGCGUACCUUUUGUAUAAUGGGUCAGCGACUUAUAUUCUGUAGCAAGGUUAACCGUAUAGGGGAGCCGCAGGGAAACCGAGUCUUAACUGGGCGUUAAGUUGCAGGGUAUAGACCCGAAACCCGGUGAUCUAGCCAUGGGCAGGUUGAAGGUUGGGUAACACUAACUGGAGGACCGAACCGACUAAUGUUGAAAAAUUAGCGGAUGACUUGUGGCUGGGGGUGAAAGGCCAAUCAAACCGGGAGAUAGCUGGUUCUCCCCGAAAGCUAUUUAGGUAGCGCCUCGUGAAUUCAUCUUCGGGGGUAGAGCACUGUUUCGGCUAGGGGGUCAUCCCGACUUACCAACCCGAUGCAAACUACGAAUACCGAAGAAUGUUAUCACGGGAGACACACGGCGGGUGCUAACGUCCGUCGUGAAGAGGGAAACAACCCAGACCGCCAGCUAAGGUCCCAAAGUCAUGGUUAAGUGGGAAACGAUGUGGGAAGGCACAGACAGCCAGGAUGUUGGCUUAGAAGCAGCCAUCAUUUAAAGAAAGCGUAAUAGCUCACUGGUCGAGUCGGCCUGCGCGGAAGAUGUAACGGGGCUAAACCAUGCACCGAAGCUGCGGCAGCGACACUAUGUGUUGUUGGGUAGGGGAGCGUUCUGUAAGCCUGCGAAGGUGACCUGUGAGGGUUGCUGGAGGUAUCAGAAGUGCGAAUGCUGACAUAAGUAACGAUAAAGCGGGUGAAAAGCCCGCUCGCCGGAAGACCAAGGGUUCCUGUCCAACGUUAAUCGGGGCAGGGUGAGUCGACCCCUAAGGCGAGGCCGAAAGGCGUAGUCGAUGGGAAACAGGUUAAUAUUCCUGUACUUGGUGUUACUGCGAAGGGGGGACGGAGAAGGCUAUGUUAGCCGGGCGACGGUUGUCCCGGUUUAAGCAUGUAGGCUGGUUAUCCAGGCAAAUCCGGAUAAUCAAGGCUGAGGUGUGAUGACGAGGCACUACGGUGCUGAAGUAACAAAUGCCCUGCUUCCAGGAAAAGCCUCUAAGCAUCAGGUAACAUCAAAUCGUACCCCAAACCGACACAGGUGGUCAGGUAGAGAAUACCAAGGCGCUUGAGAGAACUCGGGUGAAGGAACUAGGCAAAAUGGUGCCGUAACUUCGGGAGAAGGCACGCUGGUGUGUAGGUGAAGUCCCUGCGGAUGGAGCUGAGACCAGUCGAAGAUACCAGCUGGCUGCAACUGUUUAUUAAAAACACAGCACUGUGCAAACACGAAAGUGGACGUAUACGGUGUGACGCCUGCCCGGUGCCGGAAGGUUAAUUGAUGGGGUUAUCCGUAAGGAGAAGCUCUUGAUCGAAGCCCCGGUAAACGGCGGCCGUAACUAUAACGGUCCUAAGGUAGCGAAAUUCCUUGUCGGGUAAGUUCCGACCUGCACGAAUGGCGUAAUGAUGGCCAGGCUGUCUCCACCCGAGACUCAGUGAAAUUGAACUCGCUGUGAAGAUGCAGUGUACCCGCGGCAAGACGGAAAGACCCCGUGAACCUUUACUAUAGCUUGACACUGAACAUUGAGCCUUGAUGUGUAGGAUAGGUGGGAGGCUUUGAAGCGUGGACGCCAGUCUGCGUGGAGCCAACCUUGAAAUACCACCCUUUAAUGUUUGAUGUUCUAACGUUGGCCCCUGACCGGGGUUGCGGACAGUGUCUGGUGGGUAGUUUGACUGGGGCGGUCUCCUCCCAAAGCGUAACGGAGGAGCACGAAGGUUAGCUAAUCCUGGUCGGACAUCAGGAGGUUAGUGCAAUGGCAUAAGCUAGCUUGACUGCGAGCGUGACGGCGCGAGCAGGUGCGAAAGCAGGUCAUAGUGAUCCGGUGGUUCUGAAUGGAAGGGCCAUCGCUCAACGGAUAAAAGGUACUCCGGGGAUAACAGGCUGAUACCGCCCAAGAGUUCAUAUCGACGGCGGUGUUUGGCACCUCGAUGUCGGCUCAUCACAUCCUGGGGCUGAAGUAGGUCCCAAGGGUAUGGCUGUUCGCCAUUUAAAGUGGUACGCGAGCUGGGUUUAGAACGUCGUGAGACAGUUCGGUCCCUAUCUGCCGUGGGCGCUGGAGAAUUGAGGGGGGCUGCUCCUAGUACGAGAGGACCGGAGUGGACGCAUCACUGGUGUUCGGGUUGUCAUGCCAAUGGCACUGCCCGGUAGCUAAAUGCGGAAGAGAUAAGUGCUGAAAGCAUCUAAGCACGAAACUUGCCCCGAGAUGAGUUCUCCCUGAGACUUUAAGUCUCCUGAAGGAACGUUGAAGACGACGACGUUGAUAGGCCGGGUGUGUAAGCGCAGCGAUGCGUUGAGCUAACCGGUACUAAUGAACCGUGAGGCUUAACCUU